GCCCGCCGGGUUUGUCCCGCGAUCCCCGACCAUGCCCGCCGACCUCAGCGGUACUUGGACCCUGCUCAGCAGCGACAACUUCGAGGGCUACAUGCUGGCCCUAGAUGGAGUUUUGCUCUUGUUGCCCAGGCUGGAGUGCAAUGGCGGGAUCUCGGCUCACCGCAACUUCCGUCUCCCCGGUUCAAACAAUUCUCCUGCUUCAGCCUCCUGAGUAGCUGGGAUUGCAGGCAUGCCCCACCACGCCCAGCUAAUUUUGUAUUUUUAGUAGAGACGGGGUUUCUCCAUAUUGGUCAGGCUGGUCUCCAACUCCCGACCUCAGGUAUUGACUUUGCCACUCGUAAAAUAGCCAAGUUGCUGAAGCCACAGAAAGUGAUUGAGCAGAAUGGGGAUUCUUUUACCAUCCACACGAACAGCAGCCUAAGGAACUACUUUGUGAAAUUUAAAGUUGGAGAAGAAUUUGAUGAAGAUAACAGAGGCCUGGACAACAGAAAAUGCAAGAGUUUGGUUAUCUGGGACAAUGACAGGCUCACCUGUAUCCAGAAGGGAGAAAAGAAGAACAGAGGCUGGACCCAUUGGAUCGAAGGAGACAAACUCCACCUGGAAAUGUUCUGUGAAGGUCAAGUGUGCAAACAGACAUUCCAGAGAGCCUGAUCCACAUCCAGCAGCAGAGCCCACUUGUGGCUGCAGCUUUAUGCCAAAUUAUAUUGCAGACUGAACAGACGUUUAUCUAUCCCAUUUGGCGACGAGGACUCGUGGCUGGAGAGAGCCACACAGCGUGUAACCUGAAGUCAUCUAGAUUAUGGGGAAACUGCUCAGCUUCAAUAAACCUGUCCAAAUGAC